rnacentral:rRNA from 1 species
CCUACGGGUGACAGCAGUGAGGAAUAUUGGUCAAUGGGCGCGAGCCUGACCCAGCCAAGUAGCGUGAAGGAUGACUGCCCUACGGGUUGUAAGCUUCUUUUAUAAAGGAAUAAAGUGAGGCGCGUGUGCCUUUUUGUAUGUACUUUAUGAAUAAGGAUCGGCUAACUCCGUGCCAGCAGCCGCGGUAAUACGGGGGAUCCGAGCGUUAUCCGGAUUUAUUGGGUUAAAAGGGAGCGUAGAAGGGUUAUUAAGUCAUUUGGGAAAGUUUGCGGUUCAACCGUAAAAUUGCAAUAGAUACUGGCAGCCUGGAGUAAAGUUGGGGUAGGCGGAAUCCGGGGGG